rnacentral:lncRNA from 1 species
AAAUGCAAAACAAAUAAAGAAAAACUUUUAAAAUUCAUAAAAUAAUUAAAAUUAUUUUUUACGAGUAAUUUCCUAUGUGGGGGCAAAAAUUAGGUGCUCACAGCCGCCAUUUUUAUAAUUUUUGAAUUAUUUUUUACGAGUAAUUUCCUAUGAAGAGUUUUUGGGCAAAGAUUAAGUAAGCAAUCAUGAAUUAUUUUUGCCCGUUUGGUACUCCAUGUGAAGCAUUUUGAAAAAGUUUGACCGAACCUUGCUUCGAAAUUGCCUACAUAUCCUUGGCUAUAAAGGAAUCAGGUCAGUGUAGUUUUGGAGUUUGGUAACUGGGACUAUCGAAUAGCUGUAAUUUCAUCGUUGUUGUUGUUGUUACUGCUUGCUGACUCCUUAUUACACCAAAAUCAAAAUGAAAAGAAACUAAACAAGUCUAUCAGCUAUGAGUUACAAGAUUCAUAUCUCUAAGUCUUCUUAAACUUGAUCUAGAGUCUUGGCUAGCUCUUCAUGCAGACUCUGAUAUGAACCUUGAUGCUUGCUAGUUGCAGAUGCUAUUUCAUUUUUCUAUGGUUUCUUCAGAUCAAAAUGGGACAUGCAAAGCGCUUGACUUCAGUCAUGUGUUGAGCAGUCCACAUCCUUUUAUCCGCUUCUGCAUUUCGGAUUCAUUUAUUUUCAUUUCUUUAUUUUGGAUCGAAACUUCUUCUUUUGAUUAUCUUGAACCCGUGCCUCGAGGUAAAACCUGCCCAGACACCAAAAUAAACAAACGAACGAAAUUUUUCUGCCCCAGUGUUGUCUGGAAAAAAAUUAGUGAGUUAUUUGUAACAAAUAUCUAUACUACUUCAUUAUUGAAAGCAAAUAAAAGGCCGGAAUUGGUGUACCCUAAGAAAAUAGAGACUAGAGAGUGGAGACCCUAUGUCUAAAAUGAAAGCAACUAGGGACUGGAGACCCAAUGUUGGAAAAGGAGACUAGGGAGUGGAGACCCUAUGUCUAAAAUAAAAUCUACAAAAGAGUGGAGACCCUAUGUUAGAAAAGGAGACUAGGGAGUGGAGACUCUAUGUCUGAAAUAAAAUCUACAAGGGAAUGGAGACCCUAUGUUGGAAUAGGAGACUAGGAAGUGGAGACCCUAUGUCUAAAAUAAAAUCAACUAGGGAAUGGAGACCCUAUGUUGGAAAACAAUACAAGGGAGUAGAGAUCCUAUGUCUAAAAUAACAUCAACUAGGGAAUGGAGAGCCUAUAUUGGAAAAGAGACUUGGGAGUGGAGACCCUAUAUCUACAAUAAAAUAAACUAGGGAAUGGAGACCCUAUGUUGGAAAAGAGACUAGGGAGUGGAGAUCCUAUGUCUGAAAUAAAAUCAACUAGGGAGUGGAAACCCUAUGUUGGGAAAACGACUCGGGAGUGGAGACCCCAUGUCUAAAACAAAAUCAACUAGGGAGUGGAGACCCUAUAUUGGGAAAGCAACUAGGGAGUGGAGACCCUAUGUCUAAAAUAAAAUUAACUAGGGAGUGGAGACCCUAUGUUGGAAAAGAGAGUAGGGAGUGGGACCCUAUGUCUAAAAUAAAAUCAACUAGGGAGUGGAGACCCUAUGUUGGAAAAGGAGACUAGGGGGUGGAGACCCUAUAUCUAAAAUAAAAUCAACUAGGGAGUGGAGACCCUAUAUUGGAAAAAGACUAGGGAAUGGAGACCAUAUGUCUGAAAUAAAAUCAACUAGGGAGUAGAGACCAUAUGUUGGAAAACGCAGCUAGGGAUUGGAGAUUCUAUACUACCAUAUUUGAACUUUUUCUUCUUUUUUUAUUAGGAGAAUGAGUAAAAUGCGGGAAAGAAUUUGAAGAAGACUUCCCUUUUUUGGAGUCAUUGUUGCGGCAGAGCUAUUUUAGUCUCCGCGUGGUUUCUUUUUGGGUGCACCUUCUUCUUGCAAGGUUGCUUUGGAUUAUACCUGUUUCCUAUUUUUCAAACAAAGAACAAUUUGUCAGUUUGAAAUAGUGGUUGGUUUUGUGGCCUUGAGUAUUUCAGUCACUUGAUCUCGGCCCAACUUCUUUGAUGAUGAUUUCAACUGCUACUGGUUAUUUCCUGAAUACCGAUUGCAUUUCCGACCCCGGAGAACCUCUGGCUUUUCUAGACUUUUCAAUAACGGUUGGUCACGUGGGACUCAACCUUUCGACUUUAUUUUGCCUUCGUAGGCCUUCCACUUCUGACUUGUUUUUUCCAAUUUUUAACUUCGGAGCAUUGGGCAACUUUUGGCUCUUUCAAAAUUUUGCCGCGACAUCUAGUCGCGUGGGACUUAACCUUUUCCAACUUUAUUUUUCUUCGAAGGACUUCAAUUUGACUUCCUUCUUUUGAGAGUUUUUUAUUUCGAAGCAUCAUCCACCAUGGCCAGUCGGGGUCAACUUGAUACCACUGCCAAGGUUGGAUGCCUUUUUGCAUAUUAGUUUGUAUCAAAUGAGAACCCUGUAAAUUAGUCUUGUCAUUCCUUCUUUAUCUAAGUUUUGGAACAGGGUUAGACCGAAAGGGAUUCAAAGAAAAACAAGCAAUGGAAGGGGCAAAUGAAUUUAGACAAGAGGUAUACCUUUUGGGGGAAGGAAAGAAGGACUUAUCUGGAGUACAUGCGGACUUCAAUGAACAUGACAUGCCUUUUGGACUGGAUACUUGAUCUGUGUAAGCCGUCCGACUCUCAUAAAUUCAUUACAACUUUUGCCUCAAAACCGAGAAACCUUGCUCAUGGCCGUGAAGAUCCUCUUUUCGAUCAAUGGUGCCUUUGCAGGUUUUCACCAGCUAACCUCUCUCAUUUCUCUUCUCGCCAUCGCCUUAAAGUGCUCUUUGCGAGUUUUCACUAACAUGACUCUCUCAUUUUAAUUUCUCUGCUUACCAUCGGCAUACGGUGCCCGUAUGGUUUUCACCAAUAAGAAUCAUUCAUAUUAUUUCUCUCAUUUAGUUGUAUCAGAUCCAAGUUACCGUAUACUCCAAAUGAACAUCUUUGCCGAUUGUUUGGAAGGACUUGAACAGGAUUUGGGAUAAAAAAAUUUGGAUUGAAUUACAACUUUGGAACGUUUCCGGCGAAACCAUCGCCGAACCAUUGUAAUAUCUGCCCCAGUUUCACUUUUGGGGGAAUUUGGAUUUUUAAUUUGGUGUGAAUGAAUCCUAGAGAGAGGCUGCCGACGUAUCCUUUCAUAAUCAAGUUGAACGUAGUUAAGGAACUUUGUUUUUUUUCUUCUAAUUUUUUGCUUUUUCAACUGUUUUUUUUUCUCUUUCUUUUUCCAUUUUUUUAUUUCAAUUUCUUUUUGUCUCUUUUUUUUCAAUAAUAUUUUCAGGUUCCAAAAAGGAUAAUCAAAGUAAAAGGGAACCAGCCCAAAGGGUUUGCAUGGAUUGGUAGUGUUUGGGUAGCGAGAGUACAAGCCUUCGUCAUCCCAAUUAGAGAGCAUUAAAAUUGUGUAAAAGGGUCAAACAUAAUACCAUUUGACCACAUCUGCAUUGAUAACUGUUUCGGGGUCAUUUCCUUUGAUGUCUCCCAAAUAUAGUGCUCCCUUUGGCAACACUUUUCUUAUAAUGUACGGACCUUUCCAAUUUGAAAUAAAUUUUCCUUUGGCUUCUUCAUGAUAUUGGAGAAAACGUCUUAGAACGAGUUUCCCCACUUUGAAUUUUCUACGCCGCACUUUCUUGUUGUAGGCAUAGGCCAUUCUCUAUUAGUACAACUGCCCGUGGCAAACUGCGGCCAUCUGCUUUUCAUCAAUCUAAGUCAACUGUUCCAAUUGGGUUUUGACCCAUUCAUCAUCCUCGAUCUCAACUUCAACAAUGAUCCGAAGAGAGGGAAUCUCAUCUUCUGUAGGUAUUACAGCUUCAGUUCCAUAAACCAAUAAAUAGGGUGUGGCCCCAACUGAUAUACGUACGGUUGUACGAUAUCCUAAUAAUGCAAAUGGCAACUUUUCAUGCCAUUUCCUGGAACCCUGAAUCAUUUUCCUGAGAAUUUUCUUGAUAUUCAUGUUUGCAGCUUCAACAGUGCCAUUAGCUUUGGGUCGAUAAGGAGUAGAAUUACGAUGCAUAAUUUUAAAUUGUUCGCAUACGUCCCUCAUCAAGGGGCUAUUCAGAUUUGCAGCAUUGUCUGUAAUGAUAGUUUUAGGAAUAACCAAAUGACAAAUAAUGUUGGAAUACACAAAGUCCACCACUGCUUUCUUAGUGACGCCUUUGAAAGUGAUUGCAUCGACCCACUUUGUGAAAUAAUCAAUGGCAACCAAGGCGAAUCUGUGCCCAUUUGAAGCUUUCGGCUCGAUUGGCCCAAUAACAUCCAUGACCCAAGCGACGAACGGCCAAGGUGUUGACAUAGGAUGUAACUCUGAAGGCAGUGCAUGAAUCAGGUCACCGUGUAUAUGGCAUUGAUGGAACUUCCGGACGAAACUGAAACAAUCUUUCUCCAUGGACAUCCAGUCAUAACCUGCCUGGAGGAUUUUCUUUGCAAGGACGUAUUCGUUCAUGUGAGGCCCCCAUACUCCUGAAUGCACUUCGUUCAUAAUUUUUUCAGCUUCUCGGGCAUCUACACACCUCAAAAGAUUCAAAUCUGGAGUUCUUCUGUACAAGACCUCUCCGCUAAAAAAGAAACUGCUUGCAAGCCUUCUGAUAGUUCUUUUUUGAUCUCACUGGCCUACUCGAGGUAUUCUUUUGUUUUUCAGAAACCUUUUAAUAUCAUGGCACCAUGGCUGAACAUCUAGCUCCAUUUAAUUACAUUACAAUAACCAUACCUUUAUCGAAUUUGGAUUUCCAGCGGCUCAAUAUGGACAUUUCCGGGGUAUGGCAGCAUUGAGGCCAAAGUAGCUAGUGCAUCGGCUAGCUCAUUGUGGAAUCGAGAAAUAUACCUGAACUUGAUGGACUUGAACCGUUUGUUGAGACCUUCCACACAUUGCAUGUAUGGGAUGAGAUUGAUGUCUCGAGUUUCCCAUUUGCUUUGGGCUUGCCGAAUGAUCAAAUCAGAAUCUCCCAUGAUUAACAAUUCCUCUAUAUCCAGAUCAACUUCCAUAUUCAUGACCAUACUACAGGCUUCAUACUCAGCGGUGUUGUUUGUACAGAAGAACUGAAGUCGGGUUGUUGCCAGAUAAUGCUAACCUGUGGGCAAAAUAAAAAUUACCCAAUCCCGAUACCUUUUUGCAUUCACAACUCCAUCAAAGAACAUUUUCCAGGCAUUGGUGUUCUCCUGAACUACCUCAACUGAGUUUACUUCCUCGUCCGGAAAGUAAGUACUUAAGGGUUGAUAUUCAUCAUCAAUCGGGUUCUCAGCUAGAUGAUCCGCCAAGGCUUGGGAUUUUAUCGUCGUGCGGGUGACAUAGACUAUGUCAAACUCGGUGAGCAAGAUGUGCCAUUUUUCUAACCUUCCCGUGGGCAUUGGUUUUUGGAAUAUGUAGUCCAGGGGAUCCAUUCUGGUUAUAAGAUAUGUGGUGUAGGGCAAAAGAUAAUGUCUGAGCUUCUAGCGACCCAAGUCAGAGCACAACAAAGUUCUUUCCAACAAAGUGUAUUUGACUUCAUAACUGGUGAACUUCUUGCUCAAAUAGUAUAUGGCUUGCUCUCUCUUACCGGUCACAUCGUGUUGCCCCAGGAUACAGCCGAAAGAAUUUUCCAAGACUGUCAGGUAAAGAACAAAGGUCUCCCCGACUCUGGUGGAACCAACACUGGCAAAUUUGAGAGAUAUUCUUGAUUUUAUCAAAAGCUUCUUGACAUUCAUCUAUCCAUCUGAUUGUCGCAUCUUUCUUUAACAACUUAAAUAUGGGCUCACAUGUGGUAGUAAGCUGAGAAAUGAAUCUACUGAUAUAAUUCAAUCUUUCUAGCAAACUCAUGACCUCUUUCUUGGUUUUCGGAGGAGGAAAAUCCCGAAUAGACUUUAUCUUUGUUAGAUCUUAUUCAAUACCCCUACGACUGACUAUAAAUCACAAAAGUUUUCUAGAUGGAACUCCAAAUGCGCAUUUAGCUGGAUUCAAUUUCAAAUCAUACCUGCCGAAACGCUCAAAGAACUUCCUAAAAUCUUGCACAUGGUCAUUCUGCAUUCUAGAUUUAAUGAUCAUAUCAUCCACAUACACCUCAAUUUCCUGGUGCAUCAUGUCAUGGAAGAUGGAAGUAUAGCUCUCAUGUAGGUCGCCUCAGCGUUUUUAAAACCAAAUGGCAUGACCUUCUAACAGUAAGCGCCCCAAGGUAUGGUGAAAGCCAUCUUUUCUACGUCUUCUUCAUCCAUCAGAACCUGGUGAUACCCAACAUAACAAUCCACGAAAGACUGUAUCUCAUGUUUGGCACAGUUGUCAACAAGAAUGUGGAUGUUUGGCAAUGGAAAGUUGUCCUUGGGGCUUGACUUGUUCAAUCCCGAUAAGCAACACACACUCGGGUUUUCCCAUCUUUCUUCGGCACUGGAACCAUAUUAGCCAACCAUGUGGUGUAUCGGACCACUAGGAUCACACCAGCUUUCAAUUGUUUGGUGACUUCUUCUUUGAUGUUAUCACUGAUGUCCGUUUUAAACUUUCUUUGCUUUUGUUAGACAGGUGCAUAACCGGGAUAAGUUGUCAAUUUAUGUACUACCAAAUUAAUGCUCAGCCCUGGUAUAUCAUCAUAGGACCAUGCAAACACGUCUUUAAAUUCAAACAAAAGUUGGAUCAAUGCAUCUCUAGUUCUUUCAUCGGCGUGAAUGCUCAUGGUUUCUCGGACAUCUUCUGGGCUGCCCAAGUUAACUGGCUUGGUUUUAUUUAAGUUUGGCUUAGGCUUAUUCUCAAAUUGUUCCAAUUCUCGAUUUAUUUUCCUAAAGGCCUCAUCUUCAUCAUAUUCCGGUUCUUAAUUCAUUAUUUCACAGUUAGGCAGCAUUUUAGGAUUUGGGCAUGAAGUUCGCAAGCAUGUCCUGUUAUUUAAGUCCGCAUUAUUAGAACUAAAAAGAAAAAGAUAAGAAAAAUAGCAAAAAUCAAAAUAAAGAAAAAGAGACAUCUAUGGAUGAUGAAAUAUUGAUUUCAUUGAAUUGAAUUGGAGGGUUUACAUCGAAAUCAAAAGACAAUAAAGUAAAAACAUUCGAGUUGCACCCUAAAAUAACUCGUAAUGCAGAAAAGAUGUCAAGAUCGAAAAUGGGGUAGCUUUCCAAUGUUGAAGCUUGGCAUCUGGUCUCAUAUACAACACCUCAGCAAUGCUCGUGUCUUCCCUUGGCUACCAUGUGAGACUCAUAUAGCAUUUGCUUCAAAGCUUUACAAAUAUCAUCAAUUUCUUCGGCCGUGAAAGCCACUUCUUCUUCUUUUUAUAUAUACUUGGGUUUAACAAAUAACUUGGUGAGAUGCGGAACGGGCUGGGGUAGGACCCACCCUUUUUCUUUGGGUUCUUUAGCCUAUUUUUUGUCGGCAUCUGUGGCUUGGAAACCUAUGCCGAAGAACUUCUCAUUGGCAAUUGAAGUAAUAGACUCUAUGAUGCUCUGUAGAGAUACCCCAAGCCCUUUCCCAGGCUUGUACCCAUGUAUAAUCAUUUCAGUGGUGACCAUGACUGAGGCAUUAGAUAAUCAAGGUUGAGGGAAUGGGGCCCCUUCUUCACAUUGAUCGGCAACCGCAAUCUCGAAGGCCUGGUAUACAAUAUAUUCACUGCCCUCCCUAGCUUCGAGACACAGUACUAAAUAGUCCCUGUAAAUGGAUUGUUUAUCCUCCCCAUGGACAAAAAUUUCCUGGUUUUCAUAUUCAAAUUUGACCAUUUGGAGGAGCGUGGAGGGCACAACUCCUACAGCAUGAAUCCAUGGUCUUCCUAGGAAAAAAUGGUAUGAGGUGUCCAUAUCCAGAACCUGGAAAGUUACUUUGAAAUCCGCGGGGCCAAUGGUCAAAAUCAAAUCGAUGUCCCUUAUCGUGUCUCUUUUGACCCUAUCAAGAGCCCAGACACAAACGUUGUUAGGUCGGAUUCUUUUAGUUCUGGUCUCCAUUCUUGGAAAUCUUGAGAGAGGGCAAAUAUCGACCCCGGAACCACCAUCUAGCAUGACUCUCUUCACAUAAUAACCCUCAUAUUUGACAGUCAAGUGAAGGGCUUUGUUGUGGGCGACUCCCUCAGGGGAAAAUCAUCGCGACUGAAAGAAAUCCUAUUGACCUUAAAGAAUCGUUCAGCCAUUCUCUCCAAUUGUUCAACUGAAGUUCCAGCUGGAACAUAUGCCUCAUUCAAUGUUUUUAAGAGGAUCUUCUGGUGUUCGUUCAGACUUAGCAGCAAAGAUAAAAGCGAGACCUGGGAAGGAGUCUUCCGGAGUUGGUCAACAAUUGCAUAUUCUGAGGUUUUCAUUUUUCAGAAAUACUCUUCUACUUCCUCAUCCUCACAGGCUUCUUUGGGAGGAAACUGUUUAUCCUUGUUCAACUUGGAUUUCUUUAACUCUUCUGGGUUGUGGUACUUCCCAGAUUGAUUCAUUUUAUUUACCUCUCCCAUGACCUCUUUCCUCCUGUAGGUAACCACUGUUAUGUUGUAAUUCCAGGGGACUGUGGUGGGGUCUCUCAUAGGGCUCUAUGGUGUACGGCUGAUAACCACGAGCUCAGUCAGUCUUGGUGGGAUUACCGGCCCUCGCGCCACAUAGGUCCCUUCUGGCACAUAUAACUUCGGCACAUUCAACAUGGCCUUUCUUUGCUUGAAUUUCUUGGGAGUGUUCAAGAUGAACUAUUCUUUUCUUGGAGCCUUAGGAACAUAGAGAAUUGCAUUUUUAGCAGGUGCUAUCCUAGUUUUUGUUUCUACAGAUUUUGCUACAGUUUGAGGAAAAGGAGUGAUUUUUUUCUCAGUUUUGGCUUGUUUCGCUGCCGCUUUGGGUUUUGCCAUUGAAUCGGCAAUUGUGAUAAUGGCUUUCAAUGCUGGAUUAAAUUCCUUGUCAUCACAAAUCAUUCCAAUUACCGGCCCAUUGUUGUGAGCCGGUAAUGGAUUAUUAGUCACAUUAGGGACUUUCUCGUCCCUCAGCACAACUCGUUUUUGUUUUAUCAAAUUUUCAACUGCCCUUUUAAGGGUCCAACAGUCCUCCGUAUCAUGACCCUCUGCUCUCGAAUGGUAGGCCCACCUGGUACCGGCCCAGUAUGAUGGGGAUUCAUGAUUUUGCCAAUUUAGGGGUACCGGUUGCAAUAGACCCAACUGGAUUAACUUCGGGAAUAGGCUAGAGUAGGAUUCACCAAUAGGAGUGAGAUUGUUUCUCUUCAUCGGCUCACGAGGGCAUGGAUUAUAUUGGUGGUUGUUUGGUGGUGGGCGGGGGAGCAGAGGUAUAAGGAGCUUAGAAAGGAUGGUUAUGUAUGGGAGGUGGAGCUCGGGCUUGGUUGUAGUGCUGUAGCGGCUGUGUAUAGGGUUGGGCAUUCGUCACCACAUAAUGAGGCGGUGCUGUGGUGUAGGCUGUAUCUUGGUGGGGAUAGUACUGUUGGGGGGUUAUGGGCGGCAUUAAAGAGUGAUCAUAUGAUCGACGGGGCCCUCUUGAACCUAAAACCAUCAUGGCUCCUUCCUCUCUCUUUUUAUGACUGGCUACACCCCCGAGCCAUUCUGCAUGGAUUAGGAAGUAGCUUUCAAAGAAGCUUGACUCAGUAUCCGGCCAGUAUUCAGGCCAUUCUCUACCAUUUCUCAAAUUUUUAUUGCUUUUGCAAAUGGUUUGCCCAUGGAGGACAUCAUAUUCUGAAAAUAAUCGGCCUCUUGGGCCUGCAAGAAAACAAUAACCAUUUAUGUCUCAUCCAUGGGCGGUUUUCACUUUGGCAGCUUGCUCACGCCACUUGAUAGCAUAUUCGUGGAAACUUUCCGGGGUUUUCUUCUUCAAGUUGGAUAGGGAAUUCCUGUCUGGAGCUAUAUCAACAUUGUAUUGAAGUUGUCUGACAAAAUCUCGUACCAAAUCAUCCCAUAUGUGCCACUUGGAGAUUUCCUGGACCAUAUACCAUUCUGAAGCGAUUCCAGUUAGGUUUUCCCCGAAAUAAUCCAUCAAUGACUCUUCUUUUCCAGAAGCACCCCUCAGCUGGUUACAGUAUUGUUUUAGAUGACCGAUCAGGUCUCCGUGCCCAUUGUACUUUUCAAAUUUUGGCGUUUUGAAGCCAGCAGGCAAGUGAACAUGGGGAAACAUACAUAGGUCAGAGUACGAGACACUCUUUUGGCCACUCAGGCCUUGCAUGUUUUUUAGGCUUUGUUCCAGGCUUCUCAUCUUCCGAGCCAUUUCUUCCUGCUCGGGGUUUCUCACUAUUCUUUGUUAUUCCAUUGGGGACUCAUAUUGGAAAUGCUAAGGGUAUGAGUCUAGAGUAACAUGAGUUGUGUCUAGCUGAAAUUAUAGGCCUUGGAAAGUGAACGUUGAAGGCUCAAAGCAUGGCCUGGGCACUAUUGGUUGUGUCAUAGUAAAGACUGGUAGUGCGAUGAACAAUGUAGAAGUUACCCCUAAAAACGGUGCCUGGGGGCAAACCUCAGAAGGCAUAUCGGUAAAAUUGGCUGACAUAGUUGGGUACCCAAACGGGACGAAUGGGUUGGACAUGGGGAUGGGGAUGUUGGUGGUUCCACCCGUCCUGGGGAUCAACUCGGGAAAUCCAGGGAUUGAACUUGGUGGUUCUCUACCGUUGGACCAGGCAUACCAUAUCUCCAACAUGCAGAGACGCAACCUCAUGUUCUCUUCGGCAGAUGUCGAUUUAGGCUUGGACAUAAUCGGUGUGGCAUUAUCCUUAGGAUCGAUGACGUGGAGACUACUUUCUGAAGACAUUGGGACACUUCCUUUUGAUCUUUUAAAGUAAGGGUGAGAAGCCAGGAUACCGUCAAAACCAACCACCUAAACAAGACAUAUCUUGAUUUGCACGCACAACAACCUUGUCAGUUUUGAGACAUUUAAUAGAUAGGGAAUCGCAUAUUGGGGAUGCAAUGCACCUGAAUAGUUAAACAUUUCUAAAUGUUUUUGCAACAGCUGCGUGUUUCAUCAAUAUUUUUGCUAUCUCUUUUCUCAUCUGUAGGUUUUUUCUAUCAAUCAAAUUUCAAAUCUUGAUUUCUUUUUCCCUCUCUUUUUCGUUAUUUUUUGCUCUUUUGUCUUUAUCUAUUAUUUUGUCACUCUUUUCUUUCUUUUUUUCUUUCUUCUCUCUUUUUUGCUCGGUUUAAUUAAUGGAAAUGAUCGAAUCCGAUGGGUAUUGCCUACAUAUCAUGACGCCGCAUGAAUCAAAAUAUUACGUAGUUCAGGGGAAUAAAUGCAAAAUGAAAGUAAAAUUUUUUUUUGGGGUUCUUCAAUAUUUCAUUAAUAAAAAUCUUUUUGGGUUUUCUGUUACAAAGACUCAGAAAUACUGACAAUUAAAAAGAAACAUACAGACUCAAAACAGAACAAAAAAUAGACUCAACAUGGAUGAAAAGACUAACCGACUUGAGAAAAAGUAAAAUACAGGCUCAAAAGCCGAAAAUCAGGAAGACAUAAGAGCCUCCAAUGUUAUUCCGGGGGGGCGUGAGACAUCAGUCGGUCUCGGUGUGGGCCUACGUGCAAUUUCUUCCUGAAGGUGCUCUAGAUCGGCCAUCACCUAGAGAACAAAUAUCAUCACUAGAAGCAAAAAAUAUGGAUCUGGUCAUAUCCUCGCAUUCAUGGCACUUCAUUGCAACAUAAUCAGUUAUUUCUUUAAUUCUCAUUCUAAUGACACCCAUUUCUUGAAGCAAGCGUCCAAUUUGCUAUGCCCAUGCUUCCAGCACCUGCGUGGCUAUGUUGUUUUGGUCUUGCAUUUUUUGCAUGUUUUUUUCUAAUUGGUAAAUCGGUGCAUAGCACUGCUCUCCUUUUGUUUUGAAGUCCUUUGUCUGUUGAACCAUUUCAUUUCAUGGAUGGCUAGCUUUUUCCUUAAAAUUGUGACUUCUCUAUGGUAUUUCUGCUUCAAUUGGUGGGCUAACCUAGCCUGUUCUUCUACACCUUUUGCCAACUUUGCUCGGGCUUUCAACAAGUCUUUCUCGGCCUUUGUCAGAUUGGCCGCAUAGUCAUUCACCUUUAACCUCAAGUUGUUUAUGUUUCUUUCGUCCUUCUCACUCCUCACAGGUGUUUCAGAGUCUACCUCAUGUCCCGGAGUUGGGCUUGGAGUGCCUCGUUCUCCCGGGUGAACCUUUUCCUUUCACCUUCAGCUUCUUGCGCCUGUAAGUCACUAUCAAAUGUGAGGUUUCUCAACUUUUCUUCUAAGGCGUGAAUGGUUGCUUGAUAUUUUUUCUCAUUUGCUCCCUAGGCCAACCGUUCUCAGAUCUUAUCAUCGAAAGCCUAAAUAUGAGGUCUUUUGGCCAGCCUUUCGGGCUCGGGCUCAUUAUUAACGCGAGACCUCUUCUCGAACCAUAUGGCAUAACCUGGGUCCACUUCACCUCUCGCAGGAUCUGGCACCUAGGUAUCAUCUUUCAGGUAUUGGCAGCCAUUCCAAAUUUGUUGGAUUAAAGCCUCGGGGAGUAGAGCUUUAGGGUGUAGUUCGAUGACUUGGACACUCAAAUAUUCAUCUUCGGGCACCACUUGGUAUCUUCCCAACUGUCUUAGAACUCUCUGCGGUGCAUAUGGUUGGACACUUCUCAAGCCCAUCAACAACAAAUAGCCUUUUGUAGCCGUCAUGUGUGUGACUUCCCUUAACGGGAGCCAACCCAAAGUCCAUUCAACCUAACUCGCCUUUAAAUUUCUUAGAUGGAAGAUCCGGCUUCAACCCCUUUUGGAGAGUUGUAAUCUUUUACCCUUUACUCAUAACUCUCGAUGAAGUUGUUCUUGCUCGGGCCAUAACUCAUGAAUUUGGGGUGAUGGCGGAGACGCUCAAUCAAACCACAUUUGCAAAAGAAUAUUUCACCCUUCAAAAAAACUUUGCCCCAGAUUUACACAACAUCAGUGCUUGAUAGAUGUCCGACAAUAUAAGUGGAGCAAGCGUGUGAUCCUCUUUGGUAGUGAGGACUUACGCAAUUCUAGCCAUGCAGAUAUCAAUUUUCCGUUCUUCAUUUAGGAAGGCCAUAAUUCCCAGAAAUGCCACUAUGAAAGCAAAGUGGCAUUGGAUUUUCCAAAUGUCCUUAUUUUGCUUGUUGUUCAGGCCCUUUUCAUGUAUUUCAAACCCAUUUAAGUGCCCAUAUCUGGAAUAUAGGAAGUAAAAGAAACAACAUCCUUUGUUUACAUUGUUCUUCCUUAUUUGCUUACCGAUAUUCAAGAGAUUAAAGAAUCGGUGCACAUAGGGAGGCCUUGGGAAUAUAAGUUGCUAAUUUCUCAAGUCCCGGUCGAAACCAGAAUAUCCGUCUAUUUCCUCCAAAGUGGGAGUAGGUUCAAAAUUCGAGAAGCGGAGAACGUUGUGGACGGGAUCCCAAAAAGUCACUAAGGCCUUAAUUUGAUCAUCCUGCGGUUUGACUUUCAUAAUAUCUGUAAGAGCACACAAAUGCUUUGUUACCCAAUCCUGGCCAUCUUUAUCUAAGUCGUACCACCACAUUUGAAGCCGCAGCGUAGCCUGCUCUACGACUGUUAAUGGCAGGUUUUGGAUAGUGUUCAUUUUGCACCUGUGGAUAGUUAGGGUUAGGGUUGACUUUAGUGGACUUUUUUUGCAAAGCAAACUUUCAAUUUUCCAAGGAAACAUCAAAAGAGGGUGGCUAUUUAUGCAAUAUUAGCAAAAUAUGGCUAUUUUUUCAACAAUGGCCCCUUCUCACUUUCAAUGAAGUUUGAGGCCGAGGAAGGGAACUUUAUGGAAAAAGUGAUGUCCCAUUGACAGAUAUGUCCGUUAUUUAUGAGAAUAGCCCUUCGAGAAUUUGAAGAUGUUCUAAGUCUAUUCCGGCAAAAAUGACUCAAAAUACAACAGAAGCUGGGUCGGCUUACUAUUUUGACCAAAGCACCAGACAUAUUUUUUUUAUUUGGUUAUUUUUGCAAAAAUGAGGCCGAACCCUAUGUAGAUUACUUAUGUAUCUCACAUAUGGUGAGAAUCAGACCUGCGUAGUUCGGUCAGUUUUGACACAACCGGGAAAACAUGUUAUUGACUCAUUUUGAAAUGACUCCCUUCUUUUUUUUCUUUUUUUUUCAAAAAUUUCGGCAAAGUUUCGGGGCUUUCUAAAUACCGGGGUUUUUAGAACUGAGCAAAUUUCUCUCUCCCACCUCACUCUUGGUUUUUCUCUUGAUUUGCUUUUCCUAGCCGCUCAACAUGCAAGCCGAAAUAAAUAUAUGCACAAAUAGCACAUAGGAUGCAUCAAGAUGGUCUUUUAUUUUGGGUACAGCUGUCCUAGACGGACCCAACCCAUGUGUUGAGUCCCCAAAGUUAAAUGCACGUGAUGCAAACAAACGUUCCUACUAGAGAUCCGGCAUGAGGCUAUAUUAUUCUAGGUUUAAGAAUGUGGGGGUGUGUUCUAGACAUGGCUUACCCAAGCGGACAUCUCAAGUCGAGGUGGGGGCAAUGUACUGGGAGCACGUAAGUCUACCUGGCUAGUUGUUGAUCCAACCUCGUUCUAUUCGGUAUGACUUCUAACAGAAAAGUGGGUCACGCGCAGGUGUGCACCAUAUUUUUAUAAGACUCAGAAGGGAGGCGUAAGAAGGCAAUUUAUACAGUUAAGAUAAUAUCAAAAGGGUAAAUGAGCAGCAAUUAGCACAUUAGGCCCACAAACACAGUAAUAUAAAAAAUCAAGAAAGCCAAGUAUAGAUCACAUUACAAUCUCGAAUUCUGAACCCUGAACCAGAGAUUCUGGGUUCGAUCCCCAACAGAGUCGCUAGAGCUGUCACACCUCCUUUUUCCGAGGAAUAGGGAGUUUUUCCAAUUAAAGUGACAUUAUUCGAAAUGGGAUUAUUUAAUUAAUUCAGUGUCACCACUUGGGAUAUCUAUUAUGGUGUCCCAAGUCACCGAUUUAUUUUAAAUCCCAAAUAGAGAAAAUUUGACUCUAUUUGUUGUCCGCGAACACAAAAGACCGGGUAAGAAAUUCUGUUAACCUAGGAGAAGGUGUGAGGCACUCCCGAGUUCCGUGGUUUUAGCACUAUCGCUCAACUAUUUAAUUAUUAGCCUAAUUAUCUAGUUUAUUACAUGUUUAAAUCCUAUUGGUCAUUUUUAACUUUUAGCCGCUUUUAAUACUAAUGGAAUUUAUUCAAAUAAGUCGUGAUGUCGCGCACUUUUUUUUUUUACAUAUGUGAAUUGCGUCACGUGAAACGCACCUGCAAUUUAUAACAUAUUUAUUUUAAUUAUUCAAAAUUGUAGUCGAGUCGCGUGGAACGCACACUCGAUUUGGGAUUUAUAUAUCUCAACUUGCCACGGGAACCGUACCCAUAGUCACGAUAAUUUAUUUAAACGUGCCUAAAGCAAACUACGAAUAUUCAAGAUUAUUUUUUUAAAGCUAAUUUGAGAUUAUUGUGAAGGUAAAAAAUUAUGGAAUAGAUCAUGGGUAAAUACAUAUUUGAAUAAUAAAGAAGUAUCACAAAUGGUCAUAACCUGAUUAAUUUAAUGAUGCUCACGUUCUGAUUUUCAUUAAAGAAAAAGAUACAUAUUAGGCAAGAAAGCUAACUAGAACUCAAAAACAGACUUAGUUGUUCCAGACAAAAAUAAUGGUAAUUGCACAUGACAACAACAAACUAGUUCCCAAUGUAAAAGUUAUGAACAAUAAGUUUCCAUUUUUACCUUGUAGAGAAAUUUCACAUUUAAUACCAAAUGGCAAAUAAAUACAGAUUCAAAAAAAAGGGACAACAAACAGUAAGCAAACAAGAGAAUUAUCAGAGUCAAUACAUUCAAAUCUGGGAGUAACAGCACGGAAUCAUGAUAGCUUCUUAUUACGCAUAAAAUGGUGUUGUAACCAGAUAAAAAGGUUCUAUAACAUCUGUAUGGAAGUACAUAGUCUGAGACUGAAAGUAGUACCUUUAAGAAUGAGAGGAGAAGUAGAAUGCAGUAGAUGCUAAGUGAUAUGGAACUCAGCUAAGCAAAAGCAACUUUCGCAGCCAACGACAAUGAUUUUAACCUCUUAUAACUCAACAGAUGAGAAGUAAUCAAUGACCCGUUGAAAUCCUUUUUGAAUCCGAGUUCUUUUUUGUUUUUUCAAAGCUUUUGCUUCUCAAAUCUCGACAUUUGGAAAUCCAAUAUUUUUUUCAGAUACUCUCUGGGUGCGUGUAGGAGUGGGGGUAAAAAUUUAUGUAUGAGUGUGUGUGUGAGAGAGACCAUAUGAGAGAGAUGAGAAAGAUGAGAAAGAGCGAAGAGGCGUCUAGGGUUUUGGGUAAAAGGGGGGAGGAAUCCGUUCUUUCAGAGAGGGGAAGGGGAAUCGCUAGUGUUAGGAAAAUGGGGAGGGUCUCCAUCUGUUUAAGGGAAUAUGGGUCUUU